rnacentral:rRNA from 1 species
GACGAACGCUGGCGGCGUGCUUAACACAUGCAAGUCGAACGGAAAGGCCCUGCUUUUGUGGGGUGCUCGAGUGGCGAACGGGUGAGUAACACGUGAGUAACCUGCCCUUGACUUUGGGAUAACUUCAGGAAACUGGGGCUAAUACCGGAUAGGAGCUCCUGCUGCAUGGUGGGGGUUGGAAAGUUUCGGCGGUUGGGGAUGGACUCGCGGCUUAUCAGCUUGUUGGUGGGGUAGUGGCUUACCAAGGCUUUGACGGGUAGCCGGCCUGAGAGGGUGACCGGCCACAUUGGGACUGAGAUACGGCCCAGACUCCUACGGGAGGCAGCAGUGGGGAAUAUUGCACAAUGGGCGGAAGCCUGAUGCAGCAACGCCGCGUGCGGGAUGACGGCCUUCGGGUUGUAAACCGCUUUCGCCUGUGACGAAGCGCGAGUGACGGUAAUGGGUAAAGAAGCACCGGCUGACUACGUG